rnacentral:tRNA from 1 species
AAACUUUAUAUUCAAAAAUAGAUGAUAUUAAAUUGCAAGUUUAAAGGUAUUAUUUAAUUAAUUAAGGUUUA